UACGUAGGGGGCAAGCGUUUGUCCGGAUUUAUUGGGCGUAAAGAGCGUGUAGGCGGCCAUACAGGUCAGCUGUGAAAACUCGAGGCUCAACCUCGAGACGUCGGUUGAAACCGUAUGGCUAGAGUCCGGAAGAGGAGAGUGGAAUUCCCGGUGUAGCGGUGAAAUGCGUAGAUAUCGAGAGGAACACCAGUGGCGAAGGCGGGUCCCUGGACAACACCUGACACUGAGGCACGAAAGCUAGGGGAGCAAACAGG
rnacentral:rRNA from 1 species